AGUGAACGCUGGCGGCAGGCCUAACACAUGCAAGUCGAACGGUAACACGGUAAGAGUUGGCUCUUCGGGGAGGCGUGGGGGGGGGGGGAGAGAUGUAUGGGGGACUCUCCUUUGUAGGGGGGGAACACGUGGGAAAGCUAACGAAAAUCGCAUAACGUCGCAACGGCAGAGAGGGGGGGCUUCGCGGCCCUUGCCCGCUGGAGUGCCCCGAUGUGGGAUUAGCUAGUGGGCGGGGUAACGGCUCACCAAGGCGACGAUCCGUAGCUGGUCUGAGAGGAUGAUCAGCCACACUGGAACUGAGACACGGUCCAGACUCCUACGGGAGGCAGCAGUGGGGAAUAUUGGACAAUGGGCGCAAGCCUGAUGCAGCCAUACCGCGUGUAUGAAGAAGGCCUUCGGGUUGUAAAGUCCUUUUGGCGGGAAGGAAGAGCGUCAAGUUAAUACCCCGCUGUACUGACGGUACCCAAAGAAUAAGCACCGGCUAACUUCGUG
rnacentral:rRNA from 1 species